rnacentral:tRNA from 11 species
GCCACUGUGGCUUAGGGGUAUAGCAUCCCAUUGGUAAUGGGAAGGUCGGGAGUUCAAUUCUCCCCAGUGGCUCCA